rnacentral:rRNA from 1 species
UGAAAAUUCCGGGCUCAACCCGGGACUUGCCGUUGAAACUGAUAAUCUUGAGUGUAACUGAUGUGGNCGGAAUGUGUCAAGUACCGGUGAAAUGCAUAGAUAUGACACAGAACACCGAUAGCGAAGGCAGCUCACAAAAUUACAACUGACACUGAGGCACGAAAGCGUGGGUAUCAAACAGGAUUAGAUACCCUGGUAGUCCACGCUGUAAACGAUGAUCACUAGCUGUUUGCGAUACAUUGUAAGUGGUUAAGCGAAAGCGAUAAGUGAUCCACCUGGGGAGUACGUCGGCAACGAUGAAACUCAAAGGAAUUGACGGGGGCCCGCACAAGCGGAGGAGCAUGUGGUUUAAUUCGAUGAUACGCGAGGAACCUUACCUGGGCUUGAACGUAUGGUGCAUGAGUGUGAAAGCACUCUUUCCUUCACAGGACUUCAUACGAGGUGCUGCAUGGUUGUCGUCAGCUCGUGCCGUGAGGUGUUAGGUUAAGUCCUGCAACGAGCGCAACCCCUGUUUUUAGUUGCCAUCAGGUUAUGCUGGGCACUCUAGAAAGACUGCCUGCGCAAGCAGAGAGGAAGGUGGGGAUGACGUCAAAUCAGCACGGCCCUUACGUCCAGGGCUACACACGUGCUACAAUGGUCGGCACAGAGGGUUGCUACCCGGCAACGGGAUGCUAAUCUCCAAAGUCGAUCUUAGUUCGGAUCGAAGUCUGCAACUCGACUUCGUGAAGUUGGAUUCGCUAGUAAUCGUAUAUCAGCCAUGAUACGGUGAUACGUUCCCGGGCCUUGUACACACCGCCCGUCAAGCCAUGGAAGUUGGGGGUACCUGAAGUCGAUUACCGAAAGGGAUUCUCUAGGGUAAACCGAUAACUGGGGCUAAG